CCUACGGGUGGCAGCAGUGGGGAAUAUUGCACAAUGGGGGAAACCCUGAUGCAGCGACGCCGCGUGAGUGAAGAAGUAUUUCGGUAUGUAAAGCUCUAUCAGCAGGGAAGAAAAUGACGGUACCUGAUUAAGAAGCCCCGGCUAACUCCGUGCCAGCAGCCGCGGUAAUACGGAGGAUGCGAGCGUUAUCCGGAUUUAUUGGGUUUAAAGGGUGCGUAGGCGGGCUUUUAAGUCAGCGGGAAAAAUUCGGGGCUCAAACCCGUCCGGCCGUUGAAACUGGGGGACUUGAGUGGGCGAGAAGAAGGCGGAAUGCGAGGUGUAGCGGUGGAAUGCAUAGAUAUCACACAGAACCCCGAUGGCGAAGGCAGCCUUCCGGCGCCCUACUGACGCUGAGGCACGAAAGUGCGGGGAUCGAACAGGAUUAGAUACCCUAGUAGUC
rnacentral:rRNA from 1 species